GAUCAAUGAAUAUUUAAAUAGCUGCAGUAUAAAUAACUGUACAAAGGUAGCAUAAUCAAUAGCUUUUUAAUUAAAAGGUAGAAUGAACGAUUUAAUGAAAAAAUAACUUUAUUGAUUUUAAAAAUUAAAAUUAGUAUUUAGAUAAAAAUAUUUAAAUUAAAUAAAUAGACAAAAAGACCCUAUAAAAUUUUUAAAAAUUAAUUUUAAGAAAAUUUUUUUAAUUGGGGAAAUUUUAAAAUAUAUAUAAUUUUUAUAAUUUAUAAACAUUAAUUUAUGAAUAAAAUAACUUUUUAUUAUAAAAAUAAAUAUAAAUUACUUUAGGGAUAACAGUAUAAUUUUUUUUUUUAGCACUUAUAAAUAAAAAAGUUUAUAACCUCGAUGUUGAAUUAAGAUUAAAUUUAUAAGGAAAAUCCUAAAUAUUGAGAUCUGUUCGACU
rnacentral:rRNA from 1 species